AACUGCGAAUGGCUCAUUAAAUCAGUUAUCGUUUAUUUGAUAGUACCUUGCUACAUGGAUACCUGUGGUAAUUCUAGAGCUAAUACAUGCUAAAAACCCCGACUUCGGAAGGGGUGUAUUUAUUAGAUAAAAAACCAACGCCCUUCGGGGCUCCGUGGUGAAUCAUAAUAACUUAACGAAUCGCAUGGCCUUGCGCCGGCGAUGGUUCAUUCAAAUUUCUGCCCUAUCAACUUUCGAUGGUAGGAUAGUGGCCUACCAUGGUGGCAACGGGUAACGGGGAAUUAGGGUUCGAUUCCGGAGAGGGAGCCUGAGAAACGGCUACCACAUCCAAGGAAGGCAGCAGGCGCGCAAAUUACCCAAUCCCGACACGGGGAGGUAGUGACAAUAAAUACUGAUACGGGGCUCUUUCGGGUCUCGUAAUCGGAAUGAGUACGAUUUAAAUACCCUAACGAGGAACAAUUGGAGGGCAAGUCUGGUGCCAGCAGCCGCGGUAAUUCCAGCUCCAAUAGCGUAUAUUAAAGUUGUUGCAGUUAAAAAGCUCGUAGUUGAACCUUGGGUCUGGCUGGCCGGUCCGCCUCACCGCGAGUACUGGUCCGGCCGGACCUUUCCUUCUGGGGAACCCCAUGGCCUUCACUGGCUGUGGGGGGAACCAGGACUUUUACUGUGAAAAAAUUAGAGUGUUCAAAGCAGGCCUUUGCUCGAAUACAUUAGCAUGGAAUAAUAGAAUAGGACGUGCGGUUCUAUUUUGUUGGUUUCUAGGACCGCCGUAAUGAUUAAUAGGGAUAGUCGGGGGCGUCAGUAUUCAGCUGUCAGAGGUGAAAUUCUUGGAUUUGCUGAAGACUAACUACUGCGAAAGCAUUCGCCAAGGAUGUUUUCAUUAAUCAGGGAACGAAAGUUAGGGGAUCGAAGACGAUCAGAUACCGUCGUAGUCUUAACCAUAAACUAUGCCGACUAGGGAUCGGACGGGUUUCUAUGAUGACCCGUUCGGCACCUUACGAGAAAUCAAAGU
rnacentral:rRNA from 1 species